UACGGAGGAUGCGAGCGUUAUCCGGAUUUAUUGGGUUUAAAGGGUGCGUAGGCGGGAUGCCAAGUCAGCGGUAAAAAUGCGGUGCUCAACGCCGUCGAGCCGUUGAAACUGGCGUUCUUGAGUGGGCGAGAAGUAUGCGGAAUGCGUGGUGUAGCGGUGAAAUGCAUAGAUAUCACGCAGAACUCCGAUUGCGAAGGCAGCAUACCGGCGCCCUACUGACGCUGAGGCACGAAAGCGUGGGUAUCGAAUAGG
rnacentral:rRNA from 1 species